CCUACGGGUGGCUGCAGUGAGGAAUAUUGGUCAAUGGACGAGAGUCUGAACCAGCCAAGUAGCGUGAAGGAUGACUGCCCUAUGGGUUGUAAACUUCUUUUAUAUGGGAAUAAAACAGGGUAUGCAUACCCUCUUGUAUGUACCAUAUGAAUAAGGAUCGGCUAACUCCGUGCCAGCAGCCGCGGUAAUACGGAGGAUCCGAGCGUUAUCCGGAUUUAUUGGGUUUAAAGGGAGCGUAGGUGGAUUGUUAAGUCAGUUGUGAAAGUUUGCGGCUCAACCGUAAAAUUGCAGUUGAAACUGGCAGUCUUGAGUACAGUAGAGGUGGGCGGAAUUCGUGGUGUAGCGGUGAAAUGCAUAGAUAUCACGCAGAACUCCGAUUGCGAAGGCAGCAUACCGGCGCCCAACUGACGCUGAAGCACGAAAGCGUGGGUAUCGAACAGGAUUAGAUACCCCUGUAGUC
rnacentral:rRNA from 1 species